rnacentral:rRNA from 1 species
GAAUAUUGGACAAUGGGGGGAACCCUGAUCCAGCCAUGCCGCGUGAAUGAUGAAGGUCUUAGGAUUGUAAAAUUCUUUCACCGGGGACGAUAAUGACGGUACCCGGAGAAGAAGCCCCGGCUAACUUCGUGCCAGCAGCCGCGGUAAUACGAAGGGGGCUAGCGUUGCUCGGAAUUACUGGGCGUAAAGGGCGCGUAGGCGGACAUUUAAGUCAGGGGUGAAAUCCCAGAGCUCAACUCUGGAACUGCCUUUGAUACUGGGUGUCUUGAGUGUGAGAGAGGUAUGUGGAACCCCGAGUGUAGAGGUGAAAUUCGUAGAUAUUCGGAAGAACACCAGUGGCGAAGGCGACAUACUGGCUCAUUACUGACGCUGAGGCGCGAAAGCGUGGGGAGCAAACA